GGGAUCGUGGGGUAGCUUGGUAACCUUCGGCCCUUGGGUGGCCGUGCCCCUAGUUCAAAUCUGGGCGAUCCCA
rnacentral:tRNA from 1 species